CAUGCACUGGUGGGGUCCCUUGGCCUGGCCUGCUCCCUCUUGCAAUCCAGGAAUCCUCGGGGGAUGUCAGAGAGCCGGUUUUGUCGCAAUCCCCGCAGGCCAGGCUGAGGGACCCCACCAGUGCAUG
rnacentral:pre_miRNA from 1 species